rnacentral:rRNA from 1 species
GAUGAACGCUGGCGGCGUGCCUAAUACAUGCAAGUCGAGCGAACAGACGAGGAGCUUGCUCCUCUGACGUUAGCGGCGGACGGGUGAGUAACACGUGGAUAACCUACCUAUAAGACUGGGAUAACUUCGGGAAACCGGAGCUAAUACCGGAUAAUAUAUUGAACCGCAUGGUUCAAUAGUGAAAGACGGUUUUGCUGUCACUUAUAGAUGGAUCCGCGCCGCAUUAGCUAGUUGGUAAGGUAACGGCUUACCAAGGCAACGAUGCGUAGCCGACCUGAGAGGGUGAUCGGCCACACGGGAACUGAGACACGGUCCAGACUCCUACGGGAGGAAGCAGUAGGGAAUCUUACGCAAUGGGCGAAAGCAUGACGGAGCAACGCCGCGUGAGUGAUGAAGGUCUUCGGAUCGUAAAACUCUGUUAUUAGGGAAGAAAAAAUGUGUAAGUAACUAUGCACGUCUUGACGGUACCUAAUCAGAAAGCCACGGCUAACUACGUG